rnacentral:rRNA from 1 species
UUAAAAAGCUCGUAGUUGGACUUCUGGCUGGAGCGACCGGUCGGGCAUUGAUUUGUCUGCACUGGAGUCGGUUCCGUCCAUCCUCUCGGAAAGUGCGUAUGGCAUUAAGUUGUCGUGCGUAUGAUCCGGGUCUUUUACUGUGAAAAAAUUAGAGUGUUUAAAGCAGGCCUUCGCCUUGAAUACAUUAGCAUGGAAUAAUAAGAUAGGACUUGGGUCUAUUUUGUUGGUUUGCAGACCGAAGUAAUGAUUAAUAGGGAUAGUUGGGGGUAUUUAUAUUCCGAUGUCAGAGGUGAAAUUCUUAGAUUUUCGGAAGAUAAACUUAUGCGAAAGCAUUUACCAAGGAUGUUUUCAUUAAUCAAGAACGAAAGUUAGGGGAUCGAAGAUGAUUAGAUACCAUCGUAGUCUUAACCAUAAACUAUGCCGACUCAGGAUUGGUGAACGUUGAUUUAAUGACUUCAUCAGCACUGUAUGAGAAAAUCAAAAGUCUUUGGGGUUCCGGGGGGAGUAUGGUCGCAAGGCUGAAACUUAAAGGAAUUGACGGAAGGGCACCACCAGGAGUGGAGCCUGCGGCUUAAUUUGACUCACC